rnacentral:rRNA from 1 species
GACGAACGCUGGCGGCGUGCCUAAUACAUGCAAGUAGAACGCUGAAGAGAGGAGCUUACUCUUCUUGGAUGAGUUGCGAACGGGUGAGUAACGCGUAGGUAACCUGCCUUGUAGCGGGGGAUAACUAUUGGAAACGAUAGCUAAUACCGCACAACAAUGGAUGACACAUGUCAUUUAUUUGAAAGGGGCAAUUGCUCCACUACAAGAUGGACCUGCGUUGUAUUAGCUAGUAGGUGAGGUAAUGGCUCACCUAGGCGACGAUACAUAGCCGACCUGAGAGGGUGAUCGGCCACACUGGGACUGAGACGCGGCCCAGACUCCUACGGGAGGCAGCAGUAGGGAAUCUUCGGCAAUGGGGGCAACCCUGACCGAGCAACGCCGCGUGAGUGAAGAAGGUUUUCGGAUCGUAAAGCUCUGUUGUAAGUCAAGAACGGGUGUGAGAGUGGAAAGUUCACACUGUGACGGUAGCUUACCAGAAAGGGACGGCUAACUACGUG